CGGCGUCGUAUUUAUAGAGAGGAGCCGCGCGGUGAUUGGUGCGCUGCAAAGCCCGCCCUGCCGCACGGCGCAGAGCUCCCUUCUCCCCGCUCAUUUUGUGUUUCUUAAGAGGCGAAAAAGCGCGUUUUUUCUACAAUUUCCGCCACCGAUUCGCCCCAAGUCACAGCGGCGCGGAGGGCAAAGGCUGCUGCUGCCACGGGCAGAGUUUCUCUCCGGAGAGGCGAAGGGUGAGGAGCAGCCUGACAUCCUCUGAAGGACUUCUCUUGCCCCGGGAGGAGAUGACCUCAGAGCACUGCACUGCACUGCUUGUGCACCCGGAUACAGGGAUCCAUUCCCGCUGCUGUGCCACAGAGGCACUGAGCACCUCAGCCCAGGGGCUGACAUGGGGAUAGAUCUCACUGAUCACUGCGGUCAGUACUCGAAAUUCCAUCCCUCAGAUGUGUUUUUAUUUUGGUCUGGUUUGGUGGACAUCUGAGUCAGCAUGACCGAGACAGACAUUGCUGCAGGUGGUUUCCCGUUCCCCUGUGUUGUUAUUAGGGCUCUCCCUGCAGAGUGCACCCUGCAUACCCUACGGUUACCAUGCAGAGCCCAACUCCCACCGUGGAAGCAGCGUCAGAAGCAUCUGCAGCUCAGCAGGCCCUGUUACUCUGCCAGCAGGAGGGGGAGAGCUUCUGGCAGACAUCAUCGAGGCCACGAAAUAAUUGCAUUUAAUUUCUCAUAUCAAGAAGUGCUCAUUCCAAUUCUCUGUACUGGUUGGUUUUUUUUUCCCCAUAUCAGAAAGUGCUCAUUCUAUUUCUCUGCGCUGUUUCCAUUGCUGUCUGCAACCCCUGUUUUUCCCACAGCCACCUGUAACCAUUUGUGGCACUACAAUGUAACAUCAUUUUGCUUCCUGUAAUUUCUUGUUUUAUUAAAAUAUGCUCUCUGAGCUAUGAA